rnacentral:tRNA from 1 species
UCCCAUGUGGCUCAGUUGGUAGAUCAUGGCACUUACAACGCCAAUGCUGUGGGUUUGAUUCCCAUGGUGGAAC